GCUUCCGCUGCCGCCAUGGCUCCUGUGAAAAAGCUUGUGGUGAAGGGGGGCAAAAAAAAAAGAAGCAGGUUCUGAAGUUCACUCUUGAUUGCACCCACCUGUAGAAGAUGAAAUCAUGGAUGCUGCCAAUUUUGAGCAGUUUUUGCAAGAAAGGAUCAAAGUGAACGGAAAAGCCGGGAACCUUGGUGGAGGGGUGGUGACCAUCGAAAGGAGCAAGAGCAAGAUCACCGUGACGUCUGAGGUGCCCUUCUCCAAAAGGUAUUUGAAAUAUCUCACCAAAAAAUAUUUGAAGAAGAAUAAUCUACGUGAUUGGUUGCGCGUAGUUGCUAACAGCAAAGAGAGUUACGAAUUACGUUACUUCCAGAUUAACCAGGAUGAAGAAGAGGAGGAAGACGAAGAUUAAAUUUCACUUAUCUGGAAUAUUUUGUAUGUGUUCUUGAAUAAAACUUGGGAACCAAAAUGGUGGUUUAUCCUUGUAUCUCUGCAGUGUGGAUUGAACAGAAAAUGGAAAUCAUAGUCAAAGGGCUUCCCUUGGUUCCCCACUCACUUAUUUGUAACUUUUUUUUUUCUGCUUGAAAAUUUCAAUUCUCAAGGUAAUACCAGAGUAGGAAGGGUGACUUGACGGAACUGACAGCCUUGGGGAGGCAGAUGAGGGUGUGGAGGUGUGGGCUGAAGGGAGUGGCUGUUAUUUUAAAAAGUGUGACAAUUGUAUCUGUUGCUAUUCGCAAACAGUGAUUCAGGAUACGAGUGGACUCCUCUCAUUCAUUAACAGAAAAUGUGGCAUCUUUCUAAGAGUCUCUGUGGGAAAAAGUGUCAAUAAAAUACAGGUUUUUGGG